GCUGGGCACGGUGGCGGGUGCCUGUAAUCCCAGCUACUCGGGAGGCUGAGGCAGGAUGAUUGCUUGAACCCGGGAGGCAGAGGUUGCAGUGAGCCAAGAUUGUGCCACUGCACUCCAGCCUGGGCGACAGAGUGAGACUCUGUCUCAA
rnacentral:SRP_RNA from 1 species